rnacentral:lncRNA from 1 species
GAGAUGCCUUUUGUAAUAUGUUAGAUCUAAAGUGGAACAAGCAACUCAAUACAUUUGUAAGGAGAGUGUGUGAAAGCCAAGCAGAAUGACUUCAGUCUCAAACACAAGAUAUUUAGCCAUUUUGGAGUAAACUGAGUUUUUUUAAUCAGUAAAUAGAACAUUUUACACACAAUACUACAUUGUUCCUAAAUGCUAUGCACAUAAUAACCUACAGGUUGCACAACAGCAUGGUGGUGACCACUGCUGCCUCAGCUGUGGGGUUCUGGGUCCAGCUCUGGACUGGGCUGCGUAUCUGCCAGGUCUCCUCACAGCUACGAAGCCCACAGCCUCACACAGUGGGGAAUGAGGGCGAGUAGGUUCACUGCUCUGACCCUCCCACCUGUGGGUGUAUCACCUCCGACUGGAGGAUCGGGUUGGCCGCCAUCUUCCCCACCCUAACCUCCUGGUCACAGUCAGCAAGUGACAUGAUCAAGUCACGGGAGGCCCUGCUGAUUUUCAGCCUGGAUUGAAGACGGAACUGCUGAAUGCUGUACAGGAGAUGGCAGAAUACCUCAUCCUCCUCUGUCUUCAAGAUCUCUCUAGACUGAAGAUACACUGCAGGAGGAUCUGUCCUCACCUUGUACGUGUUUCCUUUUAUCAUCUCCGUCGACCCAGCCCAGCUAUCCCGGAUGAGAACAUUAUCCUGGGGCUCACAGCUGCAAUACACAGAAACUCAGUGAUGUUGACAAGUAGAGGAAGAAAGGAGGAAAAGAGGUGGGACCGUGUUAAGAAGGAAAAGGAGAACAGGGCCGUGAAAUAUUAAUAUUUUUACAACAUAACCACUUUAACAGAAAAUUAAGUCAGAAAAACAGGUUUUCUGAAGUUAUUGCUAUUAGUGCCACUACAGAGACAAGGAAGAAGUGACUGAGAAGGAUAAGAAUGAUCCUACCAACCUUGGGAGGAACAAGCAGGUGUGGGAGUGGGGGGUAACAGCAAAAAGAUGGGGAGAAAGAGAAUGAGAGAGAAUUGGCCAUGUAGGUCUGAGGGUUCAGAUGUGGGUUGAGGCCCUGCUGUCGUGACCCUGAGCUCCCCUCAGAUUCAAAAUGCCAAACUGUCUUAACAUGUACAAAUGUAAGUUUCUGUAGAUAAAAGUGCCAGCCAAAUACACGUAGAAAUUAAACAAAGAGAUGAAGAACGAGGGCGUGAAGAAGACUGAAUGGUGGUAAGCAAACAGAGAUGAGCAUCACAAGAAUGGAAAGGGGAGGAGGAUGGGAGAAGUGAAGGAAUCAGGACAAGAAAAACAGGAAUGGAAGUUAAAGAGCAGGAACAUGUUCAGCAAUAAAAUGCCAAGAACAAGCCGUGAGAAGCAGGAGAAUAGAAAAUCACAACCACCAAACAAAUAACUAGGAUAGAGAGGGUGAGGCGAAGAAGAAGAGACAACAGAAAAGGAGAAGCAGAAGAAACAGUAAAGAAAGAUGCAGCUACAACAUACAUGAUAAUAGCAAUAGAUCCUUUGAUCCCAUUGUUGAGCCGAACGCCUGGAUUUGAGGGUAGCUUUGAUACCAGAUGUCCACGAUCAGAACUGCCAGUGCAGAUGGAAAAGCAGUGGGGAACUUUCUACUGAAUGUAGGAACACAAAUGUCUUCUUUUUUCAAUUCCAUAUCAGCACACAUGUCUUUUUUUAUGUAACUGAAUUCUGUCAAGUUGUUUGCCUCAUUAAAGGUCAACAUUUCUCUCUGUUUAAAGAAAUAAACUAACAAACAGCGGAAAUCCACAGCUGUGGAAAUGUUUUGAUGAUGGAGGCGUUCUAAUCAAAC